rnacentral:rRNA from 1 species
UAAGUUCCGACCUGCACGAAUGGCGUAAUGAUGGCCAGGCUGUCUCCACCCGAGACUCAGUGAAAUUGAACUCGCUGUGAAGAUGCAGUGUACCCGCGGCAAGACGGAAAGACCCCGUGAACCUUUACUAUAGCUUGACACUGAACAUUGAGCCUUGAUGUGUAGGAUAGGUGGGAGGCUUUGAAGUGUGGACGCCAGUCUGCAUGGAGCCGACCUUGAAAUACCACCCUUUAAUGUUUGAUGUUCUAACGUGGACCCGUGAUCCGGGUUGCGGACAGUGUCUGGUGGGUAGUUUGACUGGGGCGGUCUCCUCCUAAAGAGUAACGGAGGAGCACGAAGGUUGGCUAAUCCUGGUCGGACAUCAGGAGGUUAGUGCAAUGGCAUAAGCCAGCUUGACUGCGAGCGUGACGGCGCGAGCAGGUGCGAAAGCAGGUCAUAGUGAUCCGGUGGUUCUGAAUGGAAGGGCCAUCGCUCAACGGAUAAAAGGUACUCCGGGGAUAACAGGCUGAUACCGCCCAAGAGUUCAUAUCGACGGCGGUGUUUGGCACCUCGAUGUCGGCUCAUCACAUCCUGGGGCUGAAGUAGGUCCCAAGGGUAUGGCUGUUCGCCAUUUAAAGUGGUACGCGAGCUGGGUUUAGAACGUCGUGAGACAGUUCGGUCCCUAUCUGCCGUGGGCGCUGGAGAACUGAGGGGGGCUGCUCCUAGUACGAGAGGACCGGAGUGGACGCAUCACUGGUGUUCGGGUUGUCAUGCCAAUGGCACUGCCCGGUAGCUAAAUGCGGAAGAGAUAAGUGCUGAAAGCAUCUAAGCACGAAACUUGCCCCGAGAUGAGUUCUCCCUGAGACUUAGAGUCUCCUGAAGGAACGUUGAAGACGACGACGUUGAUAGGCCGGGUGUGUAAGCGCAGCGAUGCGUUGAGCUAACCGGUACUAAUGAACCGU